rnacentral:lncRNA from 1 species
ACAGGUCGUUGUGCAGCUGGAGGUCUCUUCCGCUUUCCUGGCUGUUCCAACAGAGAAGAAUGAAGAAUCUCACUGUGUCUGUAGAAAUGGGCGGAAAACCGUGUUCUGAUGAAAAUCACUUGGAAUGAGCCUCUUAGGGAAAUAAAUAGAAAGUACUUUUUAGGAUAAAUUAUUAUUAUUGUAUUUUAAGAAUAAAGAAAUGGGCAUAGAGAAAUAAAAGACUUGCUUAAAAGCUUAAAAGCUCUUGCCUAAUAAUAAGGUCUAAGGCUGUUGACCUCAGGACAGGAUUCUUUCUGAUACCUCUGUGUUUCUCAAAUGUCUUCCUAAACCAUGUUCAAAAUAUUGAAAUAUCUGUGUGACACUAGUAUGAUUUACUGUUCAAUUGACAGUUUAAAUGCACUCAUGUUUUUACUUAAACAAGUUAUUUUAAGAGGAACUCCAGGUUACUAACUUGUAUAGAAAACCAGUAUUUUACCAAUAUCAUUAAUAUAGCAAUACAAAAAUUACCACUAUAUUGAAAGAGAAGGGGAAAAGCUAACACUUUUUUAAGUUUAUUUAAAUUAUCAUUAAAAACCCAACUCUGUGCCACCUAUAAUCAUCUUGACGAUAAUGCUCAGUCUGCAGAUCUCUCUUCUCUAUACGAGGAUCCCUUGAUAAAAUCAUCUAGUCAAUGGCUUUAAUAACAACUAUGUACUUGUGUCCAAAACUGUACAACUUUGAUCCACACCUUUUUCCUGAACUCAAACUCAUGUAUUCAACUGCCCACUCUCCACUUACAGGCUUGUAGGUCUCAUAGGCAUAUCAAAAUCAGCAAGUUUAAGACUGAGUAUCUGCUCGUCCUCACAAACCUGCUCCUCCCUCAAUUUCCUUCAUCUCAGAUGAUGAAAAAUCCAUUCUUCUAUUUGCUAGGGAGAAACACUUUGGAGUUCUUUACUACAUUCUUUCCCCUAUCUUCCCUACCCAAUCCAUGCACAAAUCUAGUCGAUUCCACCUUCAAAUUGCAUCCAGAAUCUACCCACUUCUCUCCAUCUCUACUAUUCUAGUCCUUUCUCUUGCAGGCUCUCAAUAGCUUUCUAACUGGUCUCCUGAUCAUCUCUUCUUGUUCCCCUUCAGCGAGAGGGAUCCUUUAAAACAUGUGUCAGAUCGUGUCCCUCCUCUUCUCUAACCCUUUCAGGAAUCUCCCAUAUCCCCCCUAAGUUAAAGCGUAAGUUUUUAAUGCCACUUAGAAACCCUUGCUACCCCAUGACUUCACGUCUUCCUAAUCUCUCCUUCGCUUAACCCGUUCCGGCCACACUGACCUCUUUCUUCCUAUUGGAAUACACCCAGCAUGCUUCAGUCUCUGGAGUCCUUUUACUUUUUGUUCCUUUUUCCUGGAAGUAUCUUCCCCCAGGUUUGGAUAAAUCUGGCUCCUUGACUUACUUAAAGUCUCUGCUCACACAGGACUUUUUAUCAAUGAGCUUUUCCAUAGGGAGCCCCCUCCCCACUUCCUGACCUGCCUUGUUUUACUAGCUCACCAUAGAAACACUUGCCCUGCUUUAAUUUUCUCUAUAGCACUUAUCAACAUCUAGUAUACUAAAUAUACUCUUGCUUUUUUAUCGUAGUCUUCCCCUAAAAAUGAAAUCUCCAGGAGGCCAGGAAAUUUGUUUUGAAACUUUCGGUAUCAUUGCACUUAGAACCUGGUACAUAGUAUACACUGAAUACAAAUGAAUGGAAUGAAUGUAAUUCUUGAAAAGCACUAACAGUAGCAGGAAUUAAUAUAAACCAUGAAGAGAAGGAAAUAAGCAUACCAUAAGUAUAUGCCCAUAGGAAAAGCCAUAGAAAUUUAGCACAAAUGUAUAUGAUGAAUAUGAAUUUCACUGAGAGAUGAAUCAUGGCUUUAAGGGAAACUUGGAUUGUAUCAAAGAAAUUAUGUAAUAACUGAGCCAGGCAUGGUGACUCACACCUGUAAUCUCAGCAGUUGGGGAGAUGGAGGCAGGCAAAUCGCUUGAGAUCAGAAGUUCAAGACCAGCCUGGCCAACUCUGUCUCUAUAAAAAAUACAGAAAUUAGCCAGGUGUGGUGGUGCAUGCCUGUAAUCCCAGAUACUUAGGUGGCUGAGGCACAAGAAUCAUUUGAACCUGGGAAGCAGAGGUUGCAGUGAGAUCACGCCACUGUUCUUCAGCCUGGGUGACAGAGGGAGACUCUAUCACAAAAAAAAAAAAAAAAAAAAAGUUAUAUAAUGACGAAGGAAAAUAAAAGGUUGGAUCUAGAUGAUGUAGAGAAACAUGAUUCAUAACAAAAAUAGAACAUUUCUCUCACUUUCCCCUCCUUUAUAUGUGUGUUUUUCUUCUUUCAUUAGAUACUGGAGUACCUGAAAAGGUGUCACUGAAUGUUCCUUCAAAUGUGGUUGAAGGAUCUCCAAGGGCAACAUAUUCAGUUUUAGGUGAUUCUUUCAGCCCAAGGGAAGCAGCUGUCUGGCUGUAUAAUUCUAGUGCAUGGGCCUCACCAUCCACGAUUAAUGAAGUUUCUGACAACAGGCAAUGGAUUGAGAGAAAGCACUAAGGGUUACACUAUGUUACAGUUGGAAAGGGGCUUGAAUAGAUGUUGUGCUACAUAUUAUGCCUUGAUAUAUUCUAAAAAGAAAGGGUCACCUCUCAGUGCCCUCAUCUUCAAGCAAUUUACUAGGUGGUAAUGCUUCCUAGUCAGUUUGAAAAUGGUUGUGGUUGAGUUUUACCAGACAUGUGGCCCAUGAGAAAAGAUAGAUCACCUACCAUUCAGUUUCUUCCCCCCUUUCUCCAUCCUUAAACCGUCUAUUUUCUCACCUUUUGUUUUCCUCCCUAUUUCUUGUUUUUUCACCUUUUUUAGUCUUCUUGUCCUUUUCUCUAUAGGUUAUUUGGCCUCUCAGUUAGCUAAUAAUCUAUUUUCCUAGCCUAAUACAAACCAUAUCUGAUUUCUUUACAACUUUUAUUCCACAGGUGAUAUACUAGGCUCUGUAG